GCCCGGAUGGCGGAAUAGGUAGACGCAGGGGACUUAAAAUCCCCCGAUCAUUGCGAUCGUGCCGGUUCGAUUCCGGCUCCGGGCA
rnacentral:tRNA from 1 species